rnacentral:rRNA from 1 species
UACGAAGGGGGCUAGCGUUGCUCGGAAUCACUGGGCGUAAAGCGCACGUAGGCGGCUUUUUAAGUCAGGGGUGAAAUCCUGGAGCUCAACUCCAGAACUGCCUUUGAUACUGAGAAGCUUGAGUCCGGGAGAGGUGAGAGGAACUGCGAGUGUAGAGGUGAAAUUCGUAGAUAUUCGCAAGAACACCAGUGGCGAAGGCGGCUCACUGGCCCGGUACUGACGCUGAGGUGCGAAAGCGUGGGGAGCAAACAGG